AGUGUACAGUAAUGCUCCAAGCCGCAACGUCACUCUGAGCGCGUGCGUGAGUGAGCACAGAGUGAAGCCAUGGCCUGUCGCCGGCAAAGAUAGUUCCAUGGGAUAUUUCGAUCUCCGUCCGAAACAGUUUCAAAGCACACUUUUGAGAUGCUUCUUCUCUCUCUUUUUCUGUUGAACGUUGAGGAAACUUCAGUGGAUCGGCAUUCCGCCAGUCGCCAGAAGCUCAGGCCAGAAGUGUCUGUCUCUUCUUACUGUGCCGCUUGUUCACCUUUUCUGUGGCAAGCAUAGUGAACGGUAUACAUGAUAUAUAUAUAUACAUAUUUAUACAUAUAUCAGAUGUCACACGGGUGUUAAAUAUUGAUUAACCGUAAAAAUGGCGUGAAAAUUCAAAAGCAAAUUUGAAAUGUGCCGACAUGUCAUCUCGGUAGUCGCUGCAUCCUUUCAGGCGUCUACCGUAGUUACAUUGGCAAUUUAACGGAAAUACUGGAUCCCUAGAUGAAAAUGAUGAUAUCAAAAGUUGGUCUGUUCUUAUGGAUGAAUAGUAGGGAAAAUCCUGUAGUAAAUUUACAGCACCGCAUAUUGAAGGAUUUCCAAAUCAUGAAGAUGCUGGCAAAGCGUAUGUUCCCAAGUUUGAUUACUUGCAGUUCUAAGGCUGCUGGCAUCUUAGCACCUUUAACUAUUCCUCCUGCACAUAUUGCUGCACUUUACUAUUUCUGGCCAGAAUUCUCACGAGAUGUCGACAAGCGUUAUUGCUCAUGUUCUUGUUGGGACACCGUGUUCAAGGGCUCCUAUGAAUCUGGUGUUGCAUCUUACAAGCAUAUGUAUUUUAAUGCCACUGCUAAUACCAUAAAAAUAUGGUUUAUGAUAGUAGUUGGUAUAAUUAUAUUUUACGAAAGUGUGAAAGAUUUAGCAUGGCUAGCUAUGCAAUGUCGUCUGAGAUUUAGAAUGUUGAUACUUUUUGGAACUGCAGUGUUUUCUCAUUACUAUUCAUGGUGGGUGUACAUAAAUUAUUGGAAUGACGAGUUUUAUUCCCAGUGGUAUCAUCAAUUGUUUUUCACUGCUACCGAAUUAUUGUCAACAAUUCUGGUUGUUCAUUUGGCUGAUGCAAAAAAUCCAAUCACACAUAGAAAAGCAUUUGGCAUCGCUGCUAUUGCAAUCAUGCAUAUUUUAGCUGGUAGUUGGGACCAGUUCAUCACCAAUGUUGUUAGAGGAGAGGGAUAUUCCCAUCAGGUAAUUCGGGAUCUGGGGUUCAUGAUUCCUGAUAUUCUUCAUGUUGCCAUCCCUCUAUGGUCUGUGGAAUGGCGUAACGCCUAUGGCCUACCUGGAGCUGGAUCCAGUCAGAAUAUCAGACGUGAUCUCACGUGUAUUUCAGGAAUGGUUAUAAUCGGAUUAUGUUUUUGUGCUGCCCUGUGAUAUGCAAAGCGAUGAGUUAGUAAUCAAAAUAAACAUGAGCAGCUGCUUAGUGCUUAUCUUAAAAGCAUAGCAAUGAAUGGAACUUUGGAUUAUAACAGGGUGAUUGUUUGAUUCUGCAAGAAGGCAGCAAAAGAAUUACGUACGUACCACAAUUGAGAUCAACCUAAAAGAUAGAAUUAUUUAGUUGUGUGGAUCCAAUGGUGAAGUUUAUGAACCAAUAUGUGUAAUGAUGAAACUAUUGUAUUAGACUCUUGUUGAAGUUCGCGCUUUUUCAAAAUCGCAAUCUACAAUACAGUGGGAAUUUAAUUAUUUUCGAAUUCGACCUUAAAAUUAAAGUGGGUAUCGAGUGUGGAUUCCCUAAUGUUCAACCAGUAAAAAGACAGGGAAACUCCGGAAUUCAGAUUCAGUGAGUACUUUUCUUUUCUGAGUCGACUUAUGAACGUCUUCCACCAUAUCAAUGGUAUUCUCAAUAUUAAGUACGUAAAUCGAAUCCUAUGUAUCAAAAUUUAUUUCAACAGCACAUACUUAUUCACGAGUAUUCAAUAUUGGCAAAUAAACCUUACUAUUGGGCCACUUUAGAUAACGAUGGAGGUAAUUGUUGCUAGAUCUGACAAAAUGACUCAGCCUUCUGACAUGAGAACUGAAUACGAAUUUGGACUCUGUUAAAAGCUGUUCUUAAGGGGAUUGUCUAGUGUAAUGGCUGUAUUUUUAAAGGUUUUUUGGAUAUUUUUUUAAGAUAAAACUUUGAAAUAAAAUUUCUCAUAGUUUUUAUGUUCUAUUUAUUGACAUUUAAACAAUCUUUAUUAUACCUAUACUUAUAGCCUCAACUAGGAUAAUCAUGAUGACUUUGAUAAUUUUUGUUUUACGAGCUAAACAAAUUGAUCAAAAACUGCAAAUCAAAUAUUUUUUCAUAAAAUAUAAACUACCAGAGCAAUCAUGAUUAUCCUAGUUCACGCGAUAGGUAUAGAUACAAUAAAGUGCUGUAAAAAUUUGAGUAGGAUCGCUCCAGUGCUUUUAGAGAUAUCAUGUCUACACUUUUCUUACAUACGUUCCUAUCGGGCGGUAUACAUUAGGUUAUGAGAAGUUUUAUUUCAAUGCUUCGACUUAAACAAACCCCCAAAAAAUCGUUAAAAAAAACAGCCUUCAUAUUGGACGACCCCCUUAACUUUGAAAGUUCGUAGCUCUUAGUAUAUGAACCAAAAAAAGCAGUGAAAUAUCGCUGAUUAGUUAUUGUAUACAAUGCAAGAUCUCUUGAUGUGAGAGUGUUGCUACCAGUGGUUACGUUUUAAUAACCUAAAGGAACUAAUAUUGUGUUCGAGUUUGAGCAUUAGUCCCAAUAGGUCGUAUUUUGACCAAAGAGUUAAGAAGUGUUAAGGAGUUAUAUACGAGUAGACAGCUGAAAAGGAGUUGAAUUUUGAAAAUUCAUAUCUCGACAACCAAUUAUUCAUCAAGUCAAUCGAACUCUGCUUUAUACAAAAGUAUGUUGACAGUCAUCAUUUAUCACGAGCAAACUAUUUGACGUUAUUGUCAAUAAAAAUACUUGAUCUACGUAAUUUUUAAUAAAACAGACUCCGAUCGAAUUGAACAAUUGGUUGUCGAGAGGUAAAUUCCCAAAACAUACCCAUAUUUUCAGCCAUCUAUUUGUCUACACCCCCUUAAGACAGUUCACCCUAGGCAUAUCUUUUUGCUCAAUCUAGAAGCUCGAAGUAGUUCAGGGUUAAUUACAGUUUUUUAUACUUGCCGACUCAUCAACUGUGGUCAUAAUUUAAUUGAAUUCGGUCAUUGCAGAAAACUAUUGUCUCCCUAUGGUUUUCUCAUCCGUUUGUCCUGCAAAUAAAUCUCUGGUCAACAAAUCUUACAAUCAAUAGCAUGUUGAUCAUCCAUAAUUUGAUAGAAUUUUUUAUAGUACAUAUUUUAUAAUACGUUACUUCACCAAGGUAAUUGAUAUUAUAGUUAUAGAUGAGACAAGAUGUUUUAUCGGUUUAAAAUAUCUUAAAUCAUACUAUAGAUUGUUUUAAUUGUUAGACUAUAGUGCGAUCAAUCAGCAUAAAUUAAUCACGUUGAUUUUUUUACUUCGAUCUUACUUAUUCAUUCAUUGUUCAUAGUGUUCAAGGGAUGUCAGCAAGAAGUUCAUGUUAAACAUAUUUUUUUAAUUUUUCGCUACUCAAAUAGUGCAUUUUCAAAGACGUUAAAACGCAAUUUGUUUUUACAGAUAUGUAAAUCACUCAAAGAAUUAUAAAAUUAUUGAACAUUCAUAAUGAUAAAAUCGUGAACCCAAACAAUUUAUUUGACAAAUUCGUUCGAAAUUUCUUACUCACAUACGACAAUAAGAAUAAUCAAUUACCGUUUAAGUUACUGUUGCAAAUUCUGUAAGAGGCUAUAUUAAUUCCCAUGUAUAUUUAUUGUAGUACAGUAGCAUUUACGUACAAAUGAAACAGGUAAAGACUAGUUUAGUACAGAUAUUUUUUAGUAUAACUCAUUAAAAAUUUACUCUCCGUUUAUACUUUUUAUUGCGAAAUAAAUUUAGCUUUAUUUGAAACCUUGCGAGAACGAUGUAGUCAGUAUUUACCGACUGAAGAAAAUGUCGCUUCAUUUGAGUGCUACAGAAAAUGCAUGCUGAACAAAAGUAUCGAAAAAUAUUUCUGCUUCAUACACAAAAAUAAAAAAGGCUGGGAAAUGUUUUCAUAAAGUAAGUAGUACAUAAUAGAAUUACAGGAAUAGAUUUUUUGACAUUAUUGUUGCGUAAAAAAAACUUUUUUGGGGUACUUGUAUUUCACAUUGCAUGUAGAAUUGCGCAAACUGCGGUAUUUUUACAUCAGUGACGUUUAUAUUCUGAUAAAAUUCAAAAUAAAUGACAUUCAACGCGGUCGGUAAACAUUGACUCUAGCGUCCGCUUAAAAGACUAUGGGGUGUACAGUCAGGUUGAAAAAGUGUUGGCACAAAAACGUGAUGAAACAAAGCUUUAGAUAGUGUCACUGAAGCUAUUUUAGUUACAUUCAACUGUAAAAAAUGAAAUGGAAGAAUGGAAAUGUUAAAACACUGAAAUUCAACUAUAAACAACUCAUUAUUUUAACUACACCAUAGAAACCUCAUUAUUCUACUCUUUUUUCGCCGAAAAAUCUGUAUUACAUUUCUAAUUCCAAUUAGCUGACUAUUCCAAUAACUGACUUUAUCCGUAAAUAGAUUCUCCACAGAUCGUCUAAUAAUGAGUAAAAUUGUGAUGAAUUGUAUACAUCUUUUUUCUUGCCAUCUGACAAACUUAAGAAAGAAUAUGUCUCAGACAAUUUGCAAGGCAUUCAUUUACGAAUAAAAUGAGUUAUUUGUCAAUAGAGUCAAACAAAUUACUUAGAUAAUUCGGUGAAAAAAUAAUGUGAUAAUGCAAUUUCUCUGACGCUAAUAACGCGGUGUUCACAAUUGAAAUUCAGUAUUGAAACAUUUGCAUCUGGGUCACAUAGACUUUCUUGAAUCUGAUAUAACUUGGUCAGCCUCAGUUGCCCUGUUUAACUUUCGUUUUCUUAUAUUUUCUAAUAAAAGCCCUAUACACGCAUUAAAUAUUUUACGACCUUGUAACGUUAACAUAUCCAAUCAUUUUGCAAUUUUAGAAUGGCUACAAUCGCAGCUAUUCAGAAAUAAGGUCUUAGUAAGGCCAAUUUAUUGUAUUCCGCAUAUAUAAACCUAUACACCAAUUUUAAAGUUGUGAAAUAGCGUACCAAGUUGAACGUCCUAACGUGUUUUUUUUGUGCAUAUUUGAGAAAUUUACAAUGUCAAAAGAACUCAUUCUAUUGCAGAUCAUGAAAUGUGAACUAAUAGUAAGUCGAAAAGACGUUUCAAUUCUUUAUAUCAUGUAUUGAUUAUAUUAUUUUUAUCUACGAAUACAAUAUUUGAAGAAGAAGAUAUAAUUAUUAGGUACCUAAAUAUAAGGUAGUGCAGAAAAGCAUAUAGGAUUUUAUAUACGAAUUUGACUUUCCAGGUAAUUUUUCGUGUUCAACGAAAUGAACCAAUCUCAAUAUCUGUCUUUUGUUUCUGCAUGCAAUAAUUUUUUGAACCUGCAUCCUUAUUAGAAUGGUCCUUAAAAAGGUAAUUUUUGACUUUCGACUGGCUCGUCCCCCAAAUCAAUUCCAGAUAAUUAAAAAAUAAUGAACUCAUUUUUUCAGAUUCUUGUAUCAACUCUAAGCAGUCCCGAAAGAGGGUGGAUUCCAUUCAACCCUUUCAGUGGCACAUCAAAUCUGCCGAAGGGAUUUAGAUGAAAUUUAGUAUAGGAGGGUUUCUUAGGCUGCUGGUUACGAAUCUGAAUUCAAAAUUUGCAAAUUCAAAAUGGCAGACCCAAUAUGGUGGAGCUAAAUCCAAAAAGUCAUUUGAUUUCCGAAAAACUGUAAUCAAUCUGUAAUCGAAAUUCCAAAAUUCUAAAUGGUGGAUCCAAUAUGGCAAUAUCAAGUGACUUGGGAUUUUGGUCCACCAUGUUGGAUCGCCAAUUUGAAAUUAAAAAUGUUGAGUUCAGAUUCUCAACAAGUGACCCAAAAAACCUCACUAGACCAAAUUUCAUCUAAAUCCGUUUUCUAGAUUUGAUGCGCCCCUGAAAGGAUUGAAUGGGGAAAUCCACCUUCUUGGGGACACGGGUUAAAGUUAAGAUAAAAAUGCGAAGAAAUUAGGGAAUUACUUUUGAAUCAUUUGGAGACGAUUUGGGGGGUGAGCCGGUCGAAAUUUGAAAAUUACCUUUUUAAGGACCACCCUAAUCCUCAUGUACAGAAAUGAAUGAAAGAAGUUUUGGACUUUGGCUUUAUUGAGAGUAUCAUUUCGUUCCAACGACAAUACUCGAAAAAUCACUGAUUCUACGGAUAGUUAGUAAGUUUAGAAAGAAGAGAAAGGGUACUUACUAAAAAAGCUCACCGUUUUGGUAUUUUUAAAAAUCCAGAAGCGCAAGACUUUGCACCAGUGAAAGAAAACCUUUUCAACUCAGAGUUUCUGUACUAAUGCAGUUUUUAAACAAAUUGCAAACAAUUUUUUCAGCAUUUGCAUUUCGAGGUGCAGAAAUUUCAUGUUAAUAAAUUAUCGAUGUCAUCGGGUUUUGGAGUUUUGCAGUAUUGGGAAUGGAAAUGCUAGGAUCUGUGACAUGUGGUGGCAAAAAAUGCAUUACUCUGACUGAGCCAUGUUGAAUUUUGAAACACCUCGUUUAUCGUAUCUUUUGCAGCAUAUUGAUUCCAUGUGAAAAAAGUUAAGCCUCAUAAUUUGGAAAAAGUUGCCGGUACUUUCCCAUUCGCGUAAUUAACCUGAAACUAUAAGCUGAUAAUCGAUUUUUCGACGCCAAAUUGUUUAGUCAUGCCCCUUUAUUAGUUUCCAAAACUCAGCAAAACGCGAUGACUUUUUCAACAGGCCAAAGAUCAAUAAUUCACAGUUUGGGCCCAGAUUUGAAAACAAAAUCGAAAAUAAAACGUUUAGAGUGGCAUCAUAAAUAGUUCUAAUAUGAAAAAUUCCGUACUUCGUUAACAUCAGGGUUGUAAAAUUCUGAAUGAAAAAAUAAUACAUUAAGGAUUAAAUUAAAUUUUUUAAUGAAAUUUUUCUCCAUAAAAUAAUUAAAAUUAAUGGCAAUGGAAAUGCUUCCUAUUAAAAAAUCAAAAUUAAUGAUUAAUGAAAAUACCAAUGCAUUAAAAAGUUGAUGCAUUAUUUACAACUCUAGUUGACAUCAUAUUUUGUUAGUCAAAUUUUGAAUUCUGAAUCAAAUAUCUUGUUUUCCAGGAAAUCUCAUCGGAUAAAUUAACAUUUAUUUACACUAAAUUGUAUCGGAAGUAUCGCCAACUGGUAUCUACUAAUAGCUUAGGAUUUAUAAGUGUAUGUACACCUCCCGAGGUGGAUUCUGACCGAUUCAAGUCAACCCGUGUCGACUGCUGUGCAACACGGGUGGCUUUGAAUCGGUCAAAAUCCACUUUGGGAAUUGUACAUGGAAAGUUUCAAAUCAAAACGUUACAUAAAUAUUUAUAGACGGAUAACUUUUUAUAUGAAUUUUCUGCACGUACGUAUCUGAAGGGUCCCGCUUCAACUUUUAGCGCCAAUUUCAGAGGUACGUGAAAAUACUUGAUAGAUAGGUGGAUUGUUUAGAUAUGAGAGAUUGAUAUAAUAGCUGUAUUACGGUAGAUGUUUACACACUUGAUUGAAUAAUUUGACGGACGAAUCGGACUUUGAAGGGCCGGAUGGUAUAUUAUAGGUGCAAAAGAACUAUACAACUCUUGAGAAUCAACAUCAAGUGUCUCACGCAGUUGAUUUAAACAAUACAAACUGUUAUGUUUCAUGUGGAUUUUAUGUGUGAUGUAGUAUGAGAGUAACAAAAAAUGAUUUUCUUCCCAAUACAAGACGGCUAUGAGAAUUUUGAAAGUGCCUCUACGUAUAAUAAUAACCGAAAUUAUUUAUAUCUAUUAUUGUUAAUGAAAAAUAGUUAUGAUUUGUAUACAUAUAAGAUUUAAAUUGUGAACACGUUAGAGACUUGUUUUAUAUAGAACUUUGGAAUGAUGUACAGGCAGCUGUGCAAUUGAAUUUUUUAUGUUUCAUAUAUUUUAUAGAAAUUUCUUCGAUUGUUUUUUUUUUUUUUUUUUUUUUUAUAUAGUAUCUACAGUAGUAAUACGUAGUUAAUUAAUAGAAUUAGAAAUUUGUUACCAAAAAUUACAACUGCUCUGUCGGAGUAUCGGACUAUUCAAGCUAAAGUGUAAUCGGAACCUAAAUCCCAAGUAUUUGUUAUUUUACAAAACACACAGAAGUAUACGAAUAUCAUUUUAUUUUUACAAUAACCGUAAAUACUCGUUUUUUUUUUAGUAUCACUUCAGGCUGAUGAAGACUUACAAUUUUAAAUUCAACUGUACUCUAAACACUUAUUACACUCACGAAUUUCACUGCUCCAUUGCCUGGUGAAUCCCAAUACUUCGUGUCGCUGGAAACUGUCGUAAUAUUUCGUAGGGGAUAAUAUCACGAAUGUCCGUUAAACGUUUAACGGGCGUAAUGUAUAACGGCCUGUUAUAAUCUCCUGUUUUCAUCAUUUUGACUGUCACAUUUACGCUGGUUAUACGUUUCACAAGAUAACAACAAUGAAGACUAGAUUAUAACGGGCCAUUAUGUAUUACGCCAGUUGAACGUUUAACGGAUGUUCUUGAAUUCGAUGUCCUAUCGAGAAUUGAAGCAUAAUCUUUAUCGGUAGCUACUCUGAAUGUAACAGUAGCAGAUUGUAACAAAUAACGCACACUAAUAUGUUCGAUACGAUAAAACUAGAACAGUCGACAAAGAAUUCUGUUAUACGAUUGUUAUUAAAUAAACGAGUAUCUGUCGAUCGGUUGCUUACGAAAAAUAGAACAGGUGCACUGAAAUUUCAGUUUUAAACAAGACCUCGUGGUUUACGUAAAAAUUACCGAAGGUCCUUCUACCGUUUAGAUUGUACAAUUUUAGACAUAGGUAAACUGUUUGUAGUGCUAAACGUAACCGAUUACUCGAUACGUUCUAGAUAAUUACUGCAUUUCAAAGAUUUUCAUAGUUUAUUUUCAAAUUUGAAAUGAACUGUAUAGUAUUACUGUCAUGGAGUGAUAAUAGUCAUAUCAGAAAUGUGAAGUGCAAUAAUGAAUAUUUUACUUCAGUAAUCCUUGUACAACAAGCAUCUUAGUAAUUUAUUAAUUCUCACGUGUAGUUUAUUGUGAAAAAAAGAAAUCGCUGAAAACUAAAUAAACUUUGCAGCGAUA
rnacentral:misc_RNA from 1 species